rfam:Mesocricetus auratus contig191434, whole genome shotgun sequence.
CCAAAGGCUCUUUUCAGAGCCAUCCAAGUCCUCAGAACAGAGCUGG